GUUUGUGGCUCAGCGGUAGAGCGCUUGUCUAGCACAUGAGAGGCCCUGGGUUCAAUCCUGAGCACCACA
rnacentral:tRNA from 1 species